rnacentral:rRNA from 1 species
GAUGAACGCUGGCGGCGUGCCUAACACAUGCAAGUCGAGCGAAGCACUUUGCUUAGAUUCUUCGGAUGAAGAGGAUUGUGACUGAGCGGCGGACGGGUGAGUAACGCGUGGGUAACCUGCCUCAUACAGGGGGAUAACAGUUAGAAAUGACUGCUAAUACCGCAUAAGACCACAGCACCGCAUGGUGCAGGGGUAAAAACUCCGGUGGUAUGAGAUGGACCCGCGUCUGAUUAGCUAGUUGGUAAGGUAACGGCUUACCAAGGCGACGAUCAGUAGCCGACCUGAGAGGGUGACCGGCCACAUUGGGACUGAGACACGGCCCAAACUCCUACGGGAGGCAGCAGUGGGGAAUAUUGCACAAUGGGGGAAACCCUGAUGCAGCGACGCCGCGUGAGCGAAGAAGUAUUUCGGUAUGUAAAGCUCUAUCAGCAGGGAAGAAAAUGACGGUACCUGACUAAGAAGCACCGGCUAAAUACGUGCCAGCAGCCGCGGUAAUACGUAUGGUGCAAGCGUUAUCCGGAUUUACUGGGUGUAAAGGGAGCGUAGACGGAUGGGCAAGUCUGAUGUGAAAACCCGGGGCUCAACCCCGGGACUGCAUUGGAAACUGUUCAUCUAGAGUGCUGGAGAGGUAAGUGGAAUUCCUAGUGUAGCGGUGAAAUGCGUAGAUAUUAGGAGGAACACCAGUGGCGAAGGCGGCUUACUGGACAGUAAC